rnacentral:rRNA from 1 species
GAUGAACGCUGGCGGCGUGCCUAAUACAUGCAAGUCGAGCGGACGGACGAGAAUCUUGCUUCUCUGAUGUUAGCGGCGGACGGGUGAGUAACACGUGGAUAACCUACCUAUAAGACUGGGAUAACUUCGGGAAACCGGAGCUAAUACCGGAUAAUAUUUUGAACCGCAUGGUUCAAAAGUGAAAGACGGUCUUGCUGUCACUUAUAGAUGGACCCGCGCUGCAUUAGCUAGUUGGUACGGUAACGGCCUACCAAGGCAACGAUGCAUAGCCGACCUGGGAGAGUGAUCGGCCACACUGGAACUGAGACACGGUCCAGACUCCUAGGGGAGGCAGCAGUAAGGAAUCUUGCGCAAUGGGCGAAAGCCUGACGGAGCAACGCCGCGUGAGUGAGGAAGGUCUUCGGAUCGUAAAACUCUGUUAUUAGGGAAGAACAUAUGUGUAAGUAACUGUGCACAUUUUGACGGUACCUAAUCAGAAAGCCACGGCUAACUACGU